CAGUCGCCACGGUAACACGUAGGGUGCGAGCGUUAAUCGGAAUUACUGGGCGUAAAGCGUGCGCAGGCGGUUGUGUAAGACAGGUGUGAAAUCCCCGGGCUUAACCUGGGAACUGCGCUUGUGACUGCACAGCUAGAGUAUGGCAGAGGGGGGUGGAAUUCCACGUGUAGCAGUGAAAUGCGUAGAGAUGUGGAGGAACACCGAUGGCGAAGGCAGCCCCCUGGGCCAAUACUGACGCUCAUGCACGAAAGCGUGGGGAGCAAACAGGAUUAGAUACCCCGGUAGUCCCUGUCUCUUAUAC
rnacentral:rRNA from 1 species